rnacentral:rRNA from 1 species
GAUGAGAAUUCUAAGGUGAGCGAGCGAACUCUCGUUAAGGAACUCGGCAAAAUGACCCCGUAACUUCGGGAGAAGGGGUGCUCUUUAGGGUUAACGCCCAGAAGAGCCGCAGUGAAUAGGCCCAAGCGACUGUUUAUCAAAAACACAGGUCUCUGCUAAACCGUAAGGUGAUGUAUAGGGGCUGACGCCUGCCCGGUGCUGGAAGGUUAAGAGGAGUGGUUAGCUUCUGCGAAGCUACGAAUCGAAGCCCCAGUAAACGGCGGCCGUAACUAUAACGGUCCUAAGGUAGCGAAAUUCCUUGUCGGGUAAGUUCCGACCCGCACGAAAGGCGUAACGAUUUGGGCACUGUCUCAACGAGAGACUCGGUGAAAUCAUAGUACCUGUGAAGAUGCAGGUUACCCGCGACAGGACGGAAAGACCCCGUGGAGCUUUACUGUAGCCUGAUAUUGAAAUUCGGCACAGCUUGUACAGGAUAGG